UUCCGGUUGAUCCUGCCGGAGGUUACUGCUAUCCGAAUUCGACUAAGCUAUGCAAGUCUUGGGUAAAACCAAGGCGUACUGCUCAGUAACGCGUAGUUAAUCUGCCCUUAGGCUCGGUCUAAUCCCGGGAAACUGGGGCCGAGGACCGGAUAGGCCAGGAAUGCUGGAAUGCAUCCUGGCUGAACUAAGGAUGAGAUUGCGACCUAUCAGGCUGUUGGGAGUGUAACGUACUCCCAAACCGAUAACGGGUACGGGCCUUGAGAGAGGAAGCCCGGAGAUGGAUUCUGAGACAUGAAUCCAGGCCCUACGGGGCGCAGCAAGCGCGAAAAUUUCACAAUACCCGCAAGGGUGAUGAAGGGAUUUGGAGUGCCUUCUCAUUUUUUGAGGAGGCUUUUACCGAGUCUAAAUCACUCGGAGAAUAAGCAGUGGGUAAGACGGGUGCCAGCCGCCGCGGUAAUACCCGCGCUGCUAGUGGUAACCACAUUUAUUGGGUUUGAAGCGUUCGUAGCCGGUUUGGUAAGUUUCUGAUGAAAUCCCAUAGUAAACUAUGGGGCUUGUCAGGGAUACUGCCAGACUUGGGACCGGGAGAGGUCAAAGGUAUUCCUAGGGUAGGAGUAAAAUCUUAUAAUCCUAGGAGGACCACCUGUGGCGAAGGCGUUUGACUAGAACGGAUCCGACGGUGAGGGACGAAAGCCAGGGGAGCGAAGCGGAUUAGAUACCCGCGUAGUCCUAGCUGUAAACGAUGCCCACUAGGCAUUGGCAGCCUUAAGGGGGCUGUCAGAGCCGUAGGAAAACCGUUAAGUGGGCCGCCUGGGGAGUACGGUCGCAAGGCUGAAACUUAAGGGAAUUGGCGGGGGAGCACACAAGGGGUGGAGGCUGCGGUUCAAUUGGAUCUAACGCCAGGAACCUUACCAGAGGCGACAGCAGAAUGAAGGUCAGAUUUAAGGUCUUACCAGACAAGCUGAGAAGUGCUGCAUGGCCGUCGUCAGUUCGUGCCGUGAGGUGUCAACUUAAGUGUUGUAACGAACAAGACCCGUGCCCUAUGUUGCCAUCUUUCCUUUUGGGAAGAGCACUCAUAGGGGACCGCUGCUGAUAAAGCAGAGGAAGGGACGGUCGACGGCAGGUCCGUAUGGUCUGAAUCCUCUGGGCUACACGCGGCCUACAAUGGCUGGAACAAUGGGAUGCGACACCGAAAGGUGAAGCCAAUCUCCAAAUCCAGUCUUAGUCCGAAUCGAGGGCUGCAACUCGCCCUCGUGAAGCCGAAAUCCCUAGUAGGCGCAGGUCAUCAUCUUGCGUCGAAUAUGUUCCUGUUCCUUGCACACACUGCCCGUCAAGCCAACCGAGUGGGAUUUUGACGAGCUCUCGGUUUUUGCCGGGAUCAAGUCAGAGUCCUGCGAGAGGGGCUAAGUCGUAACAAGGUAGCC
rnacentral:rRNA from 1 species